UACUACUUUCACCAUCACGUGAAAUACCAGUUGGAUGUUUUACAAAAGUUGCAAAUGUAAAAGAUGGAGCAAAAAUAUGGAAUAAUGAUGCGUUAUGACUUUUUAUUACAGAGAAUUGUUUUAAUGAGAAAUAAAUAAAGACCAAACAAUAGUUGUAUACAGAUUUUAUACAUAAUAUCGGAACGAACAAAAAAUAAGGAAAAGGGAUGUCGAAAAGUCCUUACUUUGUGUUGAAGACAAAAACAGUUCUAGUUCUUAUUUGCUUUCUGACCAUUUUUUUUACAUGUAUUACAAUAAAUUUUAACAACAGU
rnacentral:misc_RNA from 1 species